GAACUGAAGAGUUUGAUCAUGGCUCAGAUUGAACGCUGGCGGCAGGCCUAACACAUGCAAGUCGAGCGGUAGAGAGAAGCUUGCUUCUCUUGAGAGCGGCGGACGGGUGAGUAAUGCCUAGGAAUCUGCCUGGUAGUGGGGGAUAACGUUCGGAAACGGACGCUAAUACCGCAUACGUCCUACGGGAGAAAGCAGGGGACCUUCGGGCCUUGCGCUAUCAGAUGAGCCUAGGUCGGAUUAGCUAGUUGGUGAGGUAAU
rnacentral:rRNA from 1 species